rnacentral:rRNA from 1 species
GAUGAACGCUAGCUACAGGCUUAACACAUGCAAGUCGAGGGACCGGCGCACGGGUGAGUAACACGUAUCCAACCUGCCCUUUACUCGGGGAUAGCCUUUAGAAAGAAAGAUUAAUACCCGAUGUAAAGGGUGGGGAUGCGUUCCAUUCGGUUGUUGGUGAGGUAACGGCGCACCAAGCCUUCGCGUGAUAGGUGUUCUGGGAGGAAGGUCCCCCACAUUGGAACGGAGACCCUGCCCAAACUCCUACGGGAGGCAGCAGUGAGGAAUAUUGUUCAAUGGUCGGUAGCCUGAACCAGCCAAGUAGCGUGAAGGAUGAAGGAUUAUGGGUAGUAAACUCCUUUUAUAUAAGAAAAUGUAUUAUAUGAAUAAGGAUCGGCUAACUCCGUGCCAGCCGCCGCGGUAAUAC